UCGGAAGGUGCGGCUGGAUCACCUCCUUUCUAGGGAGACAUACACCAAGCCAAGAGCUUGGAUGUCACUUAGGUCGACACUUUGGCCAGUAAGUAGACGUAGCAUAAGCGCUAGCUGUACUUACAUACUUAUCAUUGUUUGGUUUUGAGAGAUCUGUAAAGACUCUCAAUCUACAGAUAUGGGCCUAUAGCUCAGCUGGUUAGAGCGCACGCCUGAUAAGCGUGAGGUCGGUGGUUCGAGUCCACCUAGGCCCACCAGUUGGCUCAUAUAACUCGAAAUACACUUUUGUGUAGAGUACAGACAUUAAGAGCUAAAAUAAUAGGAAAAGCUUAUAAAAGAUAACGGAUUCUUCGGAAUGGAUUAUCGAGACUUAAGUGAACCCAUUACGGGGGCGUAGCUCAGUUGGGAGAGCACCUGCCUUGCAAGCAGGGGGUCAGGAGUUCGAAUCUCCUCGUCUCCACCAUUUAGUAUUUGACAGCGAGUCUGUGAUAUACUAAUUGUUUGUUCUUUGAAAACUGCAUAGAAGAAUUAAUAUAUAUUUGUAAGGUCAUCUCUUAGAAUUUCUAAGUAGGUUGACCCGAGCACAUAGGAAAUAAUUCUCUGACUUAAUGGUGACGUACAUGUAAAAUGUACGGCUACAAAAAAACGACAAUGUAUCUAAUGCAUGUCAAUAUUAUCUCUCAUGUAUUCAAUCAUGAGAUUUUCGUUAGCAUUUGAUGCAUAUCUAGGAGCCUGAGCGAGAUGAAGCCGCCGCGUACUAUUGUACGUAAGGCAAAAUCGAGCGUGAGGCGACGACGAUAGGCGCAAAUGAUAACGCAAAAUAAGUAAAGAUAAUAAGGGCGUACGGUGGAUGCCUUGGCGAUAUCAGCCGAAGAAGGACGCGGUAAGCUGCGAUAAGCUACGGAGAGGUGCAAGCAACCUGUGACCCGUAG
rnacentral:misc_RNA from 1 species